rnacentral:snoRNA from 1 species
CCCCUCUCAGGGUCGUACCUGGAGAGUUUCCAGUACUCCACCAGUCUCGGUUAUGGGAGGGAGAGUCAAGCAGAGGCCUACCCAUUUCAUUCCUAGCUUGGGCAGUGGCUAGCAAAUGGAGGCAAUCUGCUACAAGU